rnacentral:sRNA from 16 species
GGAAGCCGGUGAAAUCCCGGCGCGGUCGCGCCACUGUAAUCGAUGACGGAAACUUCGCCCUCGAGAGCCAGAC